rnacentral:rRNA from 1 species
UACGGAGGGUGCGAGCGUUGUUCGGAAUCACUGGGCGUAAAGCGCGUGUAGGCGGCCUUUUAAGUCUGAUGUGAAAGCCCGGGGCUUACCCCCGGAAGUGCAUUGGAAACUGGGGGGCUAGAGUACCGGAGAGGAAGGUGGAAUUCCUGGUGUAGCGGUGAAAUGCGUAGAUAUCAGGAGGAACACCGGUGGCGAAGGCGGCCUUCUGGACGGAUACUGACGCUGAGACGCGAAAGCGUGGGGAGCAAACAGG